GGCUCCGUCGCUGCUACAGCUGAGCCGUGGACGACGCCGGGCGCGCUCCGGAGAGCGGAUGGAAGGGUGGGAAACCGCUUCCCGGCAGCAGCCGGCGCAGCGCAGUAGGAGGGUGGGGGGCGCUCCGGGUGAGGAUAGGAGCUCUCUGCGGCCCAGGAGUGGUCAUCUCUACAGCCGCUGGGCACCACCCCGAAGAGGCGCGGAUAACCGCGGGAGAGGCCCCGGGCCUGAGCUGCGGCCCGCGGGGAGCGGCCCGUGGCGGUCAGAUCGGUGUGGCCUGAAGGCAGCUGAAGCCCCUGGAGUACUCAUAUAGGAUCCAACUCCUGGAAAGAACGAUGUAUACAGCCUGUGGGGAAAAGGAGCCUUCAGUGGAAAGGAAAGAGAGUGACCAUGGAGAAGCAGCAGAGAAAGCAUUGUGGACUGAUGGCAGUCCUCCGUUCCCUUCUUCUGCUUGAGAGAAGGAGGUGGAUGGGGAUAAGGUGUUUUUUGCUUGCUUUCUAUUUUCACUACUCUAGUCUAUUAUUAAUCAGCAGUAAAUUAAAAUAAUCUUCCUCAGGUUGAGUCCAUUUUGCCUGUGAAUGUGAGUGACCUUUCUGUCCUUACCCAGUGAGCAUUUUUUUUUUUUCAUCAUAUUUUCUCCUCCUUUUCUGUUGAGCUGGAGUGUGAGUGGAAUGGUAGAGCUUUGCUACCUACUGGUGUGAAACUGCUACAAAUAGAUAAGCUCCCGAGAUCACUUCCCACUCAAUUCCUUCCAUCUUAAGACCUUAUCUUUAUGAUAGUCUUUCUUUUUCUCUCAUCUCUCAGUUGAAAUUCUGCCUAUUGCAAUUUACUGUUAUUAUUGGAAUAUCCUUAACACCAUAUCACAUGAAUACCAGAUUGUGAAGCAGAAUUGUCUUAUACUAAGUACUGUACAAGUAUAACAAGCAAUAAAGUGUACAAGUAACAAACUGGACAGACAGAUUAAAAAAUGACAACACAUGGAUACAGAAAUUAUGAAGAUGUAGAAGACAGUAAAAAUUGGUGUGUAGCCAAUAUGCUCAGACUAACCUGGAGCAAACUGCUGUCAAAUACCCCUAAAGGACAGCAAUAAAGAAACUUCUAAAGCACAGUAAAUACUGAAUAGUCACAAGAACUUGUACAAAAUCAUGCAUUGUUAAACAAAUUAUUUUCCAGUAAUUUUCCAAUAUUUUCCAGUAAUGCCUCCUAUUUUAUUAUGUUGGACCAUGACCUCAGGGGUGGAUGCUGGUGGUAUGACAGUGGAGGCUGAACCAAUAUCCUAUUACAUGUUGUUGCAGUGAGACAGAUGGCAGCAGGAGGACAGUCUGACAGAAUGGUCUCUGACACUGGAGCACUGUUGAACUAAAGGCGUUUCACUGAAUUCCUCCAUGUAGAAAAAUGGCACCCACUGAAUUCAUCAACACUUGCUGCACAUUUAUGGAGAUCAAAAUUGCUGCAUGGACAACAUUUUCUUAGCAACAGUGUCAUCAUAGAGCAGCCGUGAAACAGUGAUCAGCUCUACUGAUAUAGAUAUUUAUGAGCAAGGCACGCAGCCUCUUGUUCCCUGUUGGUGGUGGUGACAAUGUUGAAAACAGUGUUUUGUAGCUGAGAAUUUGCUCUAUCAAACAGUGUUAUUGUGCUUAGUAUCUGUUUUAGUUGCCCUGGAAAUAAAUAGUUACUGCUAGAGCAAC
ensembl:lncRNA